AACGAACGCUGGCGGCAGGCUUAACACAUGCAAGUCGAACGCAUGCCUUCGGGCAUGAGUGGCAGACGGGUGAGUAACGCGUGGGAACCUACCCCUUGGUACGGGAUAGCUCCGGGAAACUGGAGAUAAUACCGUAUGUGUCCUGAGGGACAGAGAUUCAUCGCCAAGGGAUGGGCCCGCGUCGGAUUAGCUAGUUGGUGGGGUAACGGCCUACCAAGGCGACGAUCCGUAGCUGGUCUAAGAGGAUGAUCAGCCACAUUGGGACUGAGACACGGCCCAAACUCCUACGGGAGGCAGCAGUGGGGAAUAUUGGACAAUGGGCGCAAGCCUGAUCCAGCCAUGCCGCGUGAGUGAUGAAGGCCCUAGGGUUGUAAAGCUCUUUCACCGGUGACGAUAAUGACGGUAACCGGAGAAGAAGCCCCGGCUAACUUCGUG
rnacentral:rRNA from 1 species